CUCUUGUUUAUUUUUGUGUUUAUUAGUUUUUCUCUGAUCUCUGUCUCUCUCUGUUUCAAAACAAAACACGGGUUUGCCCCUUGUCCUCCUCCUUCAGCGUGUUCUUCUCCAGCGCCGCCGCCGACGUUGCCCGUUCUCCUCCUUUAGUGGCGCCACUGACGUCGUAUCUCUGAGCCCGCUCGCCCGUCUCCUUUAGUGUCGUGUGUUCUCUUCCAUCAGCGCCUCUUAUUAUUCGAUUUCUCUAUUUUGUAUAUUCAUUUGGGAAUAUGGUUCUUCUGGGUAUGGUAAGAAGACUGGAUAUGAUGAACCUACUCAGGGGUACAGACGUAGGCCUGAAUCGGAUCUACCCAGUUCGGAAUACGGGUCUGAGGAGGAAGAUUACCGGAAACCUAGUUAUGAGAGGCGCGGUGAUGACGAUGAGACCUAUGGCCAUAAGAAAUAUAUGAGUCUUGUGAAUGAUUCUCCAGUACACUCGUCAAGCAGCGAGGACUUUGCUACAUUUCUUGAUGCAGAGUUGAAUUGUACUAUUCUACUUUUCACAUAUCGCUUGACCUAGAUGGCAAGGACGAGGACGAGGAUGACGACGAGGAUGAUUCUAAGCCCAAUAUUGAGAGAUAAUGAUUAUUGAGGAAGUCAAUCAUUCAGCACUAAAGACUCCCCUUUUUUUCAAUGUCAGAGAGUUUCAGACAAAGUAGAUGCUACACAGAAAGCAUGGCUUAGGACGUUGAAGCUUUUUUUCCUUGGUGUUUUUCUUCAAGGUAAUAUUGUGCACAACUUUCAACUUACGUCCUAUAAUACAUAAAUGUAUCUAAUUGGGCCAUGCAAAACACUUCAGGCAACUAUAUAUAGACUUCCAACAAUCUGUGAUGGAUUGCAAGUUUAUUGUGGAAGACUUUUUCAUUCUGCAUGUUAAGUAAGUCAAUCACUCAAAUUCCACUUUAACUACAGAAGAGGAAUUCUUGUAGUUAACAGUCCUGGACCCUUUGUGGCCCUCAGCAACUGUUUUUUAUUUCUAGUGGUCAAUACUGCAAUUGACAUUAUGUUUUAUUUAGAACAUUCAUUUACCAUGAAUGAUGGAAGUAUAAUUGCUGCAAAUUUCACUUUUGAAAAUAAAUAAAGGACAAGAUAUGAGAGUGUGCCGCCAAUUUCCCUUGCUGGUUUAACACAUUUUCUUGGUCCGUGGUCUUGCUGUUGCCUUACAGUUUGAACUAUAUUAUGUUGCUGUCAUCUCAUAUCAUUUCUGUUACAUAAAUUUGACCAUAUGAUUUCCAGGUAUAGUUGUAGAAUUUAAGAUCUUGUGUUCUUUCGUUUCAGGUGGUUAGCUACAUGGAACAACAUCUUUGACAUUUGGUGUUGACAUUGAAGGAAUAUGUUGGAUGGGCAUUUUGCAGGUCUUUUUCAUGCUUUCAGCUUUUUCUCUUUAUUGUUUGUCUUGAAAAUUCUUUUUACACAUGCACUAUUUUUUUUUAGUGCCAAGGAUAACUCUUGUUAGAAAAGUAAAAUCUCUAACUCCACCUCUAUUUUUUUAUGUGCAUUCGACAAAUGACUAUCCAGUUGUACAUAGAUUCAUGGAGAUCACUUCAAUCUCUUUGAAAACAGAGGGAUUAUUUAGAGUUAAUCAAUGCAUGUUAAUAUGCAUGGGUUUCACCAAAAAUGGAUCUUUUAGCAUGUUAAACAUUCAAAAUUCACUUUCAAAGUCAAUAUAAGAUCACUUAAUCAUAGGCUAUUAAAUUUACCGGUUCAAUUUUUGACAUAACUGUUAUAUUUCUAAAUUGCCAGGAAUUUCAUUGAACUUUGGCAAUAUUGUCAAAACAGUGAUAACCACCCAGGUCAUAAGCAUAAUAAACCUAUUUACCAGUGUGAAUGUGUGGUACAAAUAAUAGUUGAGGGAAGUGUUUCUCUAUUGCAACCCUGCUUUCUUUUAUUAGGAAUAAUGAACUUCUGCAUCUUUUCAUUCAAUCCAGAGGAUAUCCAUUGGAUACAUUGUCGUAGCUUUGUGUGAGAUAUGGCUUCCAUGUCAAAGGUGGAGGGGAGUAGGUUUUUUCAGGAGAUAUUAUUGGCAAUGGUUAGUUACCAUAUCUGGCAUCAUUUUACGUUCUGUAAUGUUCAAGGCUUGUGCAUAAUAUUUGUAAAGUUGGAGUUAUUUACUUGAAGAAACUUUAAUUUCACUUCUUUUGUUUCCUUUUAUGGGUUGAAAUAUUGGGUUUUGGUGGAUAUUUAACUGUCCUUAAUAUAUUUUACUAAACAUUUAGAUUCAUCUUUCAAAACUUUUAUGAGACAUGAAAGAGUAGUUAACACAUUUGAUAAUGAUGACAACGAAUACUUGGAUGUUAUACUCAUUCACUUCAGAUAUGCUAAAUUGUCAAGCAUUUAUUCUAUUGAAUCAAGUUGAGCAUCAUGAUGAAAAUUGAAAAAUAUUAUUACCCUUCCAAACAUUAGUAUGAUGAUGCAUUAUUAAUAAAUAAAAUAAAAAAAGAAAAAGAAGAAAUGAGCUAAUUUCCUAAUUGUUUCUCCCAAAAUCAAUUAGAAAC